UACGUAGGGACCGAGCGUUGUCCGGAUUCAUUGGGCGUAAAGAGCUCGUAGGCGGCCACUCAAGUCGAAUGUGAAACCUCGAGGCUUAACCUCGAGCCUGCAUUCGAUACUGGGCGGCUAGAGUCUGGUAGGGGGAUCUGGAAUUCCUGGUGUAGCGGUGGAAUGCGCAGAUAUCAGGAGGAACACCGGUGGCGAAGGCGGGAUCCUGGGCCGUUCCCGACGCUGAGACGCGAAAGCUAGGGGAGCGAACAGG
rnacentral:rRNA from 1 species